UUGGAGGGCAAGUCUGGUGCCAGCAGCCGCGGUAAUUCCAGCUCCAAUAGCGUAUAUUAAAGUUGUUGCAGUUAAAAAGCUCGUAGUUGAAUUUCGGGAUUCUACCGUUGGUCGGACUAACAAGUCUGUACUGGUGUGUAGAAUUUCUACCUUCUGGGGAACUAUCAUGUUAUUAAUUUAGCGUGGUGGGAAGCCAGGACCUUUACCUUGAAGAAAUUAGAGUGUUUAAAGCAGGC
rnacentral:rRNA from 1 species